CCUACGGGAGGCAGCAGUGAGGAAUAUUGGUCAAUGGCCUUACGCCUGAACCAGCCAAGUCGCGUGAGGGAGGACUGCCCUAUGGGUUGUAGACCUCUUUUGUCAGGGAGCAACGCCGGCUACGUGUAGCCGGACUGAGAGUACCUGAAGAAAAAGCAUCGGCUAACUCCGUGCCAGCAGCCGCGGUAAUACGGAGGUUGCGAGCGUUAUCCGGAUUUAUUGGGUUUAAAGGGUGCGUAGGCGGAAUGCCAAGUCAGCGGUAAAAUCGCGGGGCUCAACCCCGCUCCGCCGUUGAAACUGGCGUUCUUGAGUGGGCGAGAAGUAUGCGGAAUGCGUGGUGUAGCGGUGAAAUGCAUAGAUAUCACGCAGAACUCCGAUUGCGAAGGCAGCAUACCGGCGCCCAACUGACGCUGAAGCACGAAAGCGUGGGGAUCGAACAGGAUUAGAUACCCCAGUAGUC
rnacentral:rRNA from 1 species